UACGAAGGGGGCUAGCGUUGCUCGGAAUUACUGGGCGUAAAGGGCGCGUAGGCGGCACUGUUAGUCAGGCGUGAAAGUCCUGGGCUCAACCUGGGAACUGCGCUUGAUACGGCAGAGCUAGAGGAUGGAAGAGGCUCGCGGAAUUCCCAGUGUAGAGGUGAAAUGCGUAGAUAUGCGGAGGAACACCGAUGGCGAAGGCAAUCCCCUGGACCUGUACUGACGCUCAUGCACGAAAGCGUGGGGAGCAA
rnacentral:rRNA from 1 species